rnacentral:rRNA from 1 species
AUUGAACGCUGGAGGCAGGCCUAACACAUGCAAGUCGAGCGGAGCGGCGGACGGGUGAGUAAUGCCUAGGAAUCUGACUGGUAGUGGGGGAUAACGUCAGGAAACGGGAGCUAAUACCGCAUACUAUCAGCAGAGCAUAGGUCGGAUUAGCUAGUUGGUGGGGGAAAGGCCUACCAAGGCAAGGAUCAGUAAAUGGUCUGAGAGGAUGAUCAGUCACACUGGAACUGAGACACGGUCCAGACUCCUACGGGAGGCAGCAGUGGGGAAUAUUGGACAAUGGGCGAAAGCCUGAUCCAGCCAUGCCGCGUGUGUGAAGAAGGUCUUCGGAUUGUAAAGCACUUUAAGUUGGGAGGCGUUACCAACAGAAUAAGCACCGGCUAACUUCGUGCCAGCAGCCGCGGUAAUAC